rnacentral:rRNA from 1 species
AGUCGAACGGCAGCAUGAUCUAGCUUGCUAGAUUGAUGGCGAGUGGCGAACGGGUGAGUAAUACAUCGGAACGUGCCCUGUAGUGGGGGAUAACUAGUCGAAAGAUUAGCUAAUACCGCAUACGACCUGAGGGUGAAAGUGGGGGACCGCAAGGCCUCAUGCUAUAGGAGCGGCCGAUGUCUGAUUAGCUAGUUGGUGAGGUAAAGGCUCACCAAGGCGACGAUCAGUAGCUGGUCUGAGAGGACGAUCAGCCACACUGGGACUGAGACACGGCCCAGACUCCUACGGGAGGCAGCAGUGGGGAAUUUUGGACAAUGGGGGCAACCCUGAUCCAGCAAUGCCGCGUGUGUGAAGAAGGCCUUCGGGUUGUAAAGCACUUUUGUCCGGAAAGAAAUCGCACUUACUAAUAUUAGGUGUGGAUGACGGUACCGGAAGAAUAAGGACCGGCUAACUACGUGCCAGCAGCCGCGGUAAUACGUAGGGUCCAAGCGUUAAUCGGAAUUACUGGGCGUAAAGCGUGCGCAGGCGGUUGUGCAAGACCGAUGUGAAAUCCCCGGGCUUAACCUGGGAAUUGCAUUGGUGACUGCACGGCUAGAGUGUGUCAGAGGGGGGUAGAAUUCCA